rnacentral:rRNA from 1 species
GUGCCAGCCGCCGCGGUGAUACCGGCAGCCCGAGUGAUGGCCGAUCUUAUUGAGCCUAAAGCGUCCGUAGCUGGCUGCGCAAAUCCGUCGGGAAAUCCACUCGCCCAACGAGUGGGCGUCCGACGGAAACUGCACGGCUUGGGACCGGAAGGCGCGACGGGUACGUCCGGGGUAGGAGUGAAAUCCCGUAAUCCUGGACGGACCGCCGAUGGCGAAAGCACGUCGCGAGAACGGAUCCGACAGUGAGGGACGAAAGCCAGGGUCUCGAACCGGAUUAGAAACCCUGGUAGUCC